UUAAAAGACGGANGGAAGUUUUCUGAUUGUCGCGUUCAUCGACAUUUUCUUAAAGGAAAAUUGAAGGAUAAAUUCUUUUUUUCUUCCUUUUCUUAUAAUUUCAUAUUUGUAAAGCAAACGAUGGCUUUCUGAAUCCAAGUGCGUGAAAUACGAAAUUAUUGCUAUUGUGUUGAAUUGUGAAAAAAAAACAAAUCUUAAAAUAUUCAAAAAAAUGUAAUGAAAAAUCUGGUUGAAGUUUUUUUUUUUUUUUCUGAUAUCACAGAAAGAGUGAAAAGAAGAGGGGACAAAAGCAAAUAGGUAAAAAUGACGGUUUCAAUGAGUGAGUGAACAAAAGAGAGCGUGAAUAUGUGAACGUAAAUAAGAAGCUGAGAAAAAAUCGAAUUCCAUUGUAGUUUCAACAAAUUAAAAUUCGAAUUAGAAAUGUGGAUGGUAAUGCUACAUGUAUUCCACAAAAGCUGAUUGGAAAAGAAUAACCGCAUAUUAGAAAAAAAACAAUUAAAUAGAAAAAGUGUUGAUUUGAAUAACAAGAACGCUGAAUUGUGAAUCUUAUCAUAUCUUGUACAGCACAUAAUGUUAACGAAAACAAAUUCUGNAAUAUAAUCGUGCUUAAUAUUAUUAAUAUACAACAAGUAAUUAAUAAAAGAUAUUAGUGAAAUAAGAUAAUUGGACUGUGAAUAAAAAUGCUGGUUUUUAUAAUAUAAUGACUAUGUUUGAAAAAACUACGGAACCUGCCGAUAAAAACAAAAUGGAAUAUGCAACCAUGAAAGACAAAUUCUUAGGACUUGUUAAGCAAUAAUGCGUUGUCAUCCUUUAAAAAGUAUAAAGUUUAAUAAAAAAGCCAGCCAUUAACAGCAUCAUCAUUACCAAUACCAAAAACAACAGCAACUACUCUCCCGGAAGUAUUGUGAUUUGCAGAAAACGAUUUCAACGUCCAACUGCGUCUUCAGUACCGAGUAGCCGAGAAGCUUUGCAUGUAANACCAUGCCUUUGAAGGCAGGCAGGCGUUUAUUAUAACGAUUACUUCCGUUCUUUUGCUAAAAUUGCUGUUAGCAACCGUUUUUUCAUAAUUGAAUUUGUGAAUUAUUGAAAUCGAUUCUCAGCCUCGAUAGCUGAAGAGAUGGAAAUUACAAAGGAAAACUUACAAAACGAAAUACUCGCCACCACUGCAAAGUAUUUUUUCAACCCACCUACCUUAUGGAUCUCGAGCAAAUAGAAAUAUGCUCACAUAUGUAAAUACACAUAUAUAAUAUAUAGAUGAAAACUCUCACAUAUUUUGGACACUAACUAGUAAAUAACAGUGUUCAGACAGCAGCGAAAACGAAAUAAUUAGAGCAUUUAAGAUGCCAUUUUUUAAACUUGCAUAAGACUUCACCGCAAACAAAUUACAUUACGCUCUUGACAGCGCGGACUUUGCAAUGUUUACUUCGAUGUUUCGUGCAACAUCUGAAAAAUGGUCAAAGCGGUUUCAGCUCGAGCAACAGCAACCACGGCCGCUUUGUACGUAGCAAAACAGCAAUUGCAAUUACAACAAGAACAGCCGAACGGCAAAAAAUCCACGCAAAAUCAUCAAAAAGAACAGGCGACUUUUUUUCGCGCUGAACCCGAACAAAUUUUAAAACAACGUGGACAGCAGUUUACUCUUGACGCUGAGGAGGUGGACGAGGAGGAGGAGGAGCCGUGUGCGAAACGUAUCGCUGUUGCAUCGCUCAGCAAAAUGGUAAUACCAUCCUUGGCGGCAACAGCAACCACCAGCACAUCAUCAGCGUCCAUAUCCUCUUCUGUCGCAUCAGCAACAACGACGAACCAUGUUAAUACGUAUGCUGCUGAUCAGCAACAAAUACAACAACAAAGGCAACAACAAAAUGCUCUCUAUCAACAACAGAACCCGCCCGCUAGCCUCAAUAGCCAACAGUCGGCGCCGCGGCAGCAUCCGAAAAAGCGGAAAUUCGAUCCAGCCGAGCUGGACCGGCAACAGCAAACCUCACCACAACUACAGCACCACAGCGAUAGCGCAGCAGCAACGUCGUCGAUCACCACAACAACCACAUUAUGGCAUGAUAGCAAGCCAAUUUCGACGAAUAAAAACGUUAAUGUAAAUGCCGAGAACAGUAACGGUAUCUUAACUUCGGCGAGCUUGAAGAACGGCAACGGGGCAGCCACAACAANUGCAAUAUCAUCAGCAGCAACAGCAAAUAAUGUUGCUACAACAAGCUGUAAUAGCAAUCUUUCGUGGUCCGCCACAACAACAAGUGGUGCAAAUGAAGAUGCGACAAAGACGGAUAUUCUCCAUACAGCGAUACGUUCGACUGUUCAACAACAACAACAACAGCAUUCCCCAGCAACAUCGAUGAUUGUGAGUCCGGUGGCAACGGCGACACAUUCCACCAUAACAUUGCCGGCGGGAGUUGUAGUUGGCGCUGGCGCCAACGGUAACAGUGGAACUACAGUUGUAACGGCGGUUGGACGAGGCGGCACUUCCCUAGAAAGCCCCGAGAAACGCAUCAUCAUAACAAGCACACAGCCUUCAAGUAAUUAUAAGCUGCAAAAUGUGUUGAGUGUGACUCACAGCACCGGCAGUAAUCGCACUCUGAUUUCUACAAGCAAUACUACGUUGCAACAACAACAACGCCACACCUAUCAACAGCAUUUGCAACAACCACAGCCUGUGGUUACCAUGCAGCAAAGGCAACAGCAACAGCCGCCACUAGUUGCUAAUUUGGAUCUCAGCGAAUGGUCAAAUACGCGCGUAUUGGCCAAAUUAAAUAAUUUCUAUGCAUCGGGUAUUAUACGACACACAACAUCGUACAACGGCAGCUGUAGUGGUGCAGAUGCCAAUGGCAGACCACCUUCAGCUGCUACACCGAAUUCAAUUACAGUCGAAUUCGAUCCGCCGGAAAAUUGCACACAACCCUAUACGGACGUUUUGGGCAAUGGGCGUUUCAAUGUGAUAUUGGACGCUAGUCCACCAUUAGCCGAUAUUAAUGUGGACACUCGCGUUUGUGUGCGCAGUCAGAUAGAAGGUCGUUCCGGUUACGUUUUUGUGGAAGGCACUGUUACGGCCAUCAAUACAAACACAAAACAGUUCACCGUUCAAAUUCUGACGGAUUCGACACCAAUAUUCAAAACGGUUAAACGGGCAGAUUUGCGUCUGCUGCUACCGCCAUGGUGGGACGAAUUGCGUGAGCUUUCACCUUUUCCACAGCAACACCACACACAUGUUUUUGGCACUCAUAAGCCAAGCGGUGCACAUUCAACGCUGCUCACGUCUCCACAUCAACAACGCACUGCCAGCGGCAGCGGUACUUCAGGGUCAGCAACACACAAAACCAGUGCCGGUCACCAUCAUCCACAAUUGAGUUAUGCGGCUACACGUUAUGACAGCAAAGUUCCGGCACACCUUUCGGUAGCGGGUUCACAACAGCUGCCCGCACACAUGACGUCAUAUAGUGCCGCACAGCAGCAUCUGCAAAAGCAAGAAGAGUAUUAUCGGACGACUGCCACCUCACCCUUCCAAAAUGUGGGUGGCAGUGGGCAGUCAUUGAUUGUGAACGCCCACAAUGCGGGAGCGAUUGGCAAGAUAAAUGGCAACGGUAACAUGGCCACGACGUCGCUACCCGAAAUUGUUGUUUCGCAACAGCAAUUGCAGUUGGGUGGCGGCAGCAGCAGCAGCAACCAUCAGCUCUCACAAUCGCCAUCAGAUGAUCUACAGCGGCGUCAGUCACGGCAAUACGAUGAAUUCGAGUCGGAUGAUGAAUUAAAGGGUGUGCAAAUAGAUGGUUACACGCUUGGCGAUGGCGACCCCGAGAAGCUAUCGGCGGGCAGCAAGCGUAGCAGUGUACAGAGUCGCGGCAGCACAUCAAGCACCCCAAGCAGAUCUCAAGGAACUACACCGCAUCGUUUCAAUAAGGGUGAUAUUGUUCAGUCGGAAUCCGGUGUGCGUAAAAAAUACAAUGGCAAACAAUGGCGUCGCCUAUGCGGUAUGUGCUCCAAGGAAUCUCAGCGUCGUGGUUUGUGCUCGCGCCAUCUUAAUCAGAAAGGCAAUGCUUUUCGGCCUAAUGGUGCUAAUCGAUUUCCUCGUGAUAUGAAUAGCCGUUCAAGCAGUAAAACGCAAGUGGAUGAAGACACUUCGCGUGACUCAGAAACGUCACCCAACUACCGUGCGGCAGGCCGCUCUGACCAGGAGGAAACUGAUGUGGCUAAUAUUUUAGUGUCACUGAGCAGUUCUCGUUCGGCCACGCCAAGCUAUUCUUCGCCUGUCAACCACGGUACCUCACCGAUGAAUGUUACCAACUCGCCCGUGCCAGUCGUCUCCAAUCGCCAAAAUUUUUUCACGCCAAUAGGCGGUGGCCCCGUUGUGACAGCGGACGCACAAACAACUAAGUGGAAGCCCGCAGCUAGCCCCAUACAAUAUGGUACAGUGGGCUAUUCACAAGUUAUACGCCCGGAAACGGUGCGUGCGCAAGGCAACGCUACAGCACCACCGCCACAACAAUCGCCCGUCUCUAUGGUGAUACACAACCAGAACAGUGUUAAUGUAGCAGCUGCACAGCUGCCCGGAACCGCUGGCAAUAUACAUCAUUCCUCUCUGCACUCAGCGCAUCAACAGGUACCGCCACCACUAUCUCCAGCACAAUCUGCUGUCAUGCAGCAGCAGCAUCAUUUGCAGCAACCGCCACUUGCGCAUAGCCAUAUAUCCCUGUCGCCGGGUGGGCCGCCUCCACCGCAACCGAUCGUUAGCAGCGCAGUGAUUGCACCACCUCGGCCACCUGCUUCUGUGGUUACAAGCGUUGGUCACGCCACCACCAGCGUUAUACGGAUCUCACCUGCUGCCGCCGCCGCCGCUGCCGCAAAUAAUGGUUCCACACAUGGCAGCACAGUAGCUCCGUCAUUGCCGCAAUCCUUUCAUCCUGUCAUAGUCGAUCCCACGCAGCUGGUGCCUUUGCUCUCGCCGGCGAGUGGCAAUUCAUCGUUGCAGACAGGACAACCCACAUUGGUUUCGAUCAGUAGCAGUUUGGGUGUGGGUGGGAGCAAUAGUUCGCUCUUAGCCGCCGCACAUCAGCAUAAUUUGCAACAACAGACGGCAGCGCCACCGAUUUCAAAUGAAAAGACGAUUCCAAAAAACGGAUUUCCGCCGGGGUCGAUAUAUCAAUGGCAAACGCUGUUGCCCACCAUCAGCCAGUCCCCCGUUAAACCGACCAAUUUUACAAUAGCCGGCAUCAUACCGCCAACGGCGGAAACACCACCUCCACAACAACAACAGCAAACAACACAAGGAAUUAAUUUGAUAAAUCACCAUGGUGCGCACAACAAUCUCAGCAAUCAUAGUUUGAGCGUCGGUCAUAAAAUAACCGCCGAUUUAGAUUCACCCGAGAAACCGCUGAAUUUCUCAACAAGUGAUGCGGCCGCCGCCAAGAAUAAUGCUUUGAAUAAAAAUAAUGGAGCUGGCACAUCUAGUAGUAGCGGGGGCAACAGCAGCGUACCACAAGAAGAUAACGACGAUCAAUUAGACGAUGAUGUAUUCGAACCAAUGGCACCAGCACAACCCAAGCCGAAGCACGCGCGAUUCGCCAUCAACAGCAGCAGUGAUAGCUAUAGAUAUGGCAGUUCGUCAAAGAAUAAAUAUGGCAAUGAGGGUAUGGGAGAGGCGAAGACAUCAACAGCAUCGGGUAAUAGCAGUUCGGCGGCCAAGCGACGUUCACAAUCGCUCAGCGCUUUACAACAACAGCAACAACAGGCAAAAUCAACUGCCGGAGGAGGAACUUGUGCCAUUGACAAGGAACCCUCCAGUCCAGAACCGGACAAAAUCCGUCGUCCUAUGAACGCUUUUAUGAUUUUCUCUAAAAAACAUCGUAAACUAGUUCACAAAAAGCAUCCGAACCAAGACAAUCGUACUGUUAGCAAAAUUCUAGGCGAAUGGUGGUACGCUUUGAAACCGGAGCAGAAAGCUAAAUAUCAUGAAUUGGCCAGUUCGGUGAAGGACGCCCAUUUCAAGAUGCAUCCACAUUGGAAAUGGUGUUCGAAAGACCGUCGUAAGUCCUCUAGUUCCGNCAAGGGGGAAACAUGUGGAGGGCCUUUGGACAUUAGUGACGGCAUCGACUUGCCAAUACAUAGUCCCGGUUCAGCGAGUGCUUCAAGCAACACCGCCAUCGAUUCUCAAAGUGAUAUCAUACCACUUACAAUUGAAGAAACUCUGGGUCAAGUGAAAGAAGAAAAGACAAGUAUUAAAGCGGAGUUGGUGCAACCAAACGAAACGCAGCAGUCCGAUGAUGAGCACAUGUUGGUGGUAGAUGAAGCUACAAACAGUAAGCUAAGCAGUAAUAGCUGCAAUUUAGGAUCUCAGCAGCAGGAGUCUGCAUUGAAGCAAAUAGAUUUAAAGUGUCGUGAACGCGUUACCGAUUCCGAUAUAGAGGAUGCGGCCUAUGAUUAUAGAAAAACCGUAACGAAUGCAGUGAAGAGUGUACAAAGUGAACAUUCAGCUGAAAACGAAAAGCUCUCAAUGUCGAAGGAAGCAAGUAUAAAAAAUGAGAGUCAAAAUAAAUCGGAGGAAAUGUUGGCGCUCAGCACUUCUGGCAACAACGCGCUUAACGUGAAUACUGAACGAGAUAUUACACUGAAACCGAAACCCAUCAAGCCAUAUGCUUCCAGCAUUGAAAGUAGCAUUCUUAGUCCACAGCAGCUGCCGAAGUACUCAUACAACAGUCCGAAGAACCCAAUCGGUGUAACACCAUUCCAACCAACAGGCGGUGCGUUCAAAACCAUGCCCAUAAGCCCGAAAAGCACAAAGAUAGACGAACAGCAGCUGCAACCACUGCAUAUAAAGCAGGAGGAUAUCAAGCAAGAGUUGCCUUCGCCAUACAAAAUGAAUGGCGGCGGUGCAAAUGUAAAUAGCGUAUUCACUUUCAAUGUACCAAUGGGCGCGGCAGCGGGUCUGAAUCAAAAGACACAACAGACAACAGGACAUCCAUUACGCAGUCCUAAUACCAUGGAGGGUAGUAAAGCCAACGCAGCGGCAUCUUCGGUGCCUUCGUCACCUGCAUCGGUUAGUGUAGCCAACAGCUCGACCACGGGCUCCUGUUUUACCAGCACUCCAGUCAUGACGCCGACACAAAUACUCGCAACGACGACUUGUGGUAAUGGCGGAAUCGCAAGCGGCCAGAAGCAAAUACUUUUCACAGUCAACAAUAUGUUAAAUCAGGUCGCUCUUCUGCCAAUGCCACAACUAACAGAAUCAGUAGGCAGUAUCGCCGGCGCCGGCAAUGUUUCUUGUGGGCCAAUUAAGCCAACUCCCAUCUCUUACCCCAAUUACAAGAAGAACAAUGGCCAAACGACUUACGGUGUGAAUACAAAUAUAAGUGGUGGCAGUGCUUUAUCAAAUACCAACAAUAACAACGCUAUUUUACUACACAAUUAUACUGAGUCUACACCAAAAUCACCGUCUUGCAAAUCAUUACCCACCACUCCGAAAUCGGCGUGCUUGUCUUCAGCUUUCGCAAUGAAUCCACCGGACUCGGCUGGUAAACGCAGCACAGAUAGCAGCUCAACCUCAGCUUUGGACGCCGAGGAUGAGCAGAAUGACAUUGGUGGCAGACAGCAAUUCAUUUUAGCACCAACACCUGCGCAACUGGGACGUGCGAAAUUUCCGCGACGUAAAAAUUUUUCAUCAAACAACGCAGCUGGCGAAAAUAGCAAUAAUAACACAUUUGCUUCAACCGUCCUGAUGGGGUGCAACUCUAUGAAGAACUUGAAUUCGCCUAUUAUGGUGGACUCAUCAUCGCCGAUUAUUGGUAAUGUGAACACGGUUGUCAGUUCUAUGACAUCAGCGCUGCCCACACCCACCUCNUCAACGAACACGCCCAACAGCGAUGAACAAAUGCCUACCACACCAUCGGCAGUUAAUAGCAAUAGCAGUGCCGGNAGCGUGAAUGAUUUAAGCGGUGUGUUGAACCCAAAGUCGCCGUUAAAAUCAGCAUCAGCGACCAAAAAGAAAAACGAUGACAUGGAUAACNUCCUAAAACAAGUUGAUUUUGAGAAGAAAUAUCAAGCAUUGCCACAGUUCAAACCAGAGGAUUGCCUAUCUCCCAGCGCCAUCGCAGUGCCAUCAUCGCCACGCGUCUACGGCACUAAUUAUCGAAAGAAAAAUCCACCACAGCCAAUUGUGCCCCCAAAAAAGCUCGUGUGUGAGGAUGAAUCAGCCCUUGAGACAGCAUCCUUGCCAUCAACGCCGUCACAGCGUUUCUUCGGGCCCGAUUUCAAUAUUGAACAGCUAAAUUUGGAGAAUUCCGAUGAGACAGAUCGUUCGCCCCGCACUCCACAAACACCUUUACAAAGUGCACGAUCCGAUGCGAGCGAGAAGGGUCAUCGUAAAGUAUUGGAAAUACGUCGGAAGUUUGUUUACCAACUUUUCAACGAACACGGCAUGUUUCCAUCAACUCAAGCUACAAUGGCUUUUCAGAAAAAGCACAUCGAUGUAUUUCCGCGAAAACAAGAUCUCCAAUUGAAAAUACGCGAAGUGCGCCAAAAGUGCAUGAGCCAGGCUGGAUUCACACCACACUCGGCCGGUCCUAUGACACCAUCCGCUGAAACCAGUCUGUCCACAACUUCGGCAACAAUAACAACAAACACAACUAUAGCAACAACAACGCUAAACCAGAACUAUGGGAGCGGAGAAAAUUACGCGCAAUCACAAUCAAAUGACGAAUAAUUAAGUAAAGCUUCCCUGAAUACGCAGCUCGUGUGAAGAGCUGAUAGUAUUAAAAACACAAUAACAACUAUGGUUCAUAUUUCUUAGAAAAAGAGAAAGUUAAUGGGAGAGUUCAGUACAAUCAAAUUCAAAUUCAGUGUGCCAUGGCAUAAUGUAAUUAUGCAAUUUAUGCAUAUAACCAUAAUAUAUGCCAUCAAGAGCCGUAAGUAAGUAACAUUUGCAACCGCAAAGAGGGGAAGUUUUUAAUGCCAAUCUAAGAAAUAUUUGAUCAUAUANAAAGGAAAGUAAUUGCCUUUGAUAUACCAGAUGAACUGCGUGACAGUGUAAAAGUUCUGUGACAAUGAUAAUGUAUUAUUGUUCGAAAACGAUUUGAUUACCUCUUUGGGAAAGUUUAUACAUUUAUGUUAUAUUUGGAGAAUUCAUAGAAGACAUAAAUUGAUAAAAAGAUAACCGUUUAGUAUAAGCAAUAAGACACGCGACCUGGCAACAACAACAUACAACACGAUUGCGGUUUGUUGCAACGAUACACCAACAACGCCAGCAAAGAAUUACCAGCAUUAAUUAAUUGAUAAACGCAUACGCCAAGCCUAGAAAACUGAAAUGAAAUGGAUUCGAAAAGCGAUUGUAUUAAGAGAAUCACAAAAUGAACAGCACAGUAAAGAAACACACAGUAAAUUGAUUUAGCACACAUAUAAUGCAAACACUUUAAAACAUAUAUAACUAAUCCCAAUUAAUUAAAGCUUAAAUAGUUUUUAAUUUUAAAACGCAUCAAUAAACAAUAUUGCAAAGCAUACAGGAUAGAAAUAAACCUUUAUUCAAGCAUAUAAUCAAUGUAAUGAAUUCAAAUAAGUGAAUAAUGAAUUAACCGAUUGUAUUAGUACACUCAAACAACAAACAAAGAAAACCGAUAGAAAGAAAAAAAACAAAUAAAGAAGUACAGAAAAUAAAUAAUUAAUUAUUAACUAAGUAGCCUUUGCAGAUGAAACUUAAAGAUGUCUUAAACAUAAUGUUAACACAUUUAAUAAAUUGCUACAAGCGGCACACGGUGAAAAUUAUANAAACUUGGCAAACAUGCUUACACGCAGAGAUAUAAUAACGAAGUAGCCCAUUCAAGACACAAAUAUUAUUAUUUUGUUCAACAUUUUAAAACAGCACAUAAGCAAACAAGUAAGUGCAUGCAAAUAUUUUAUUAAACACAAACACAUACAUAUAUACACCCAUACAGUUAAAAGUAUUGGUAAUUGAGCGAACGUAACCUAUAAUUACUUUGAUGCCUCCUGCAUACUCUCGGCNUUCGUCUUACGACUAUGCAGUUUAUUUUACAUAAUAAUUGUACACGAUUACAAUUUAUAACAUUAUGUUAGUUGUAAAAACAUUGAAACAUAAAUUGAAGUAAAACUCCAUGUAAAUCAA
rnacentral:misc_RNA from 1 species